rnacentral:rRNA from 1 species
AUUGAACGCUAGCGGGAUGCCUUACACAUGCAAGUCGAACGGAGUGGCGAACGGGUGAGUAAUGUAUCGGAACGUGCCCAGUAGCGGGGGAUAACUACGCGAAAGCGUAGCUAAUACCGCAUACUUUUGGAGCGGCCGAUAUCGGAUGAGCUAGGUGGUGGGGGAACGGCUAACAAAGGCGACGAUCCGUAGCCGGUUUGAGAGGACGACCAGCCACACUGGGACUGAGACACGGCCCAGACUCCUACGGGAGGCAGCAGUGGGGAAUUUUGGACAAUGGGGGAAACCCUGAUCCAGCCAUGCCGCGUGUGCGAUGAAGGCCUUCGGGUUGUAAAGCACUUUUAACAGGAAAGCGGUACCUGCAGAAUAAGCACCGGCUAACUACGUGCCAGCAGCCGCGGUAAUUC